CCUUAGUAACGGCGAGUGAAGCUGGUAAAAGCUCAAAUUUGAAAUCUGGUACUUUCAGUGCCCGAGUUGUAUAUUUGUAGAAUUUGUCUUUGAUUAGGUCCUUGUCUAUGUUCCUUGGAACAGGACGUCAUAGAGGGUGAGAAUCCCGUUUGGCGAGGAUACCUUUUCUCUGUAAGACUUUUUC
rnacentral:rRNA from 1 species